AGCAGGCUCACACCCUGCCCUUCAGAGUUGCAGCAGCUAAUGCUGAUGCCAGGACCUUGUCCUGCCAGGAAGCCUCUGAUUAGGGCUCUGAACCAACUUCCUUUUCACAUCUGCAAGGACACUUGGAGGCAACUGCCCAAGGCCACUCUGAGGAGGGUUGAAUGUUCUUUAUUAAAAGGACUGAGGAUCAUGUGUGUUGGUGGGCCUUGGACUCUGCUCUAAGCUCAAAUUUUGCAGUUUCUGCUGUCAUCACAGUUGGGAAUGAGAAAGGGAGGGGACUCCAGUUGGUCUCCCUCUGCCUCUGGAGCACACGUGGAGGACAUGAGGCUUCCGCAGGAACAGCUCUGAAAGCUGAGUUCUCGGGUCCUUGUGAAGGAGGGAAGCUUGCCCGCCUUGGAGCGUGAAAAAGUCUUGCUGGACAGAAGUCUCACGGUUUAAAACUGGGAAGGGAGAGGAUUGAGAUCACACUAGAAUGCACAGAAAAUUCUUAAAACAAAAAAAUAAUGAGAGAAACUUCAUCAGAAUGUGAAAAGAACUAUAAAGCUACAGUGCUGAAGAGAGGGCAAUACUGGCACUAGAAUGAGAAGAUUCAUGGAACACAGUGGAAAGUGCAGUAAGAGAGCUGCAUGUAUGUAAUAUUUUAUCAUGUGAUAAAGUGAUAUAUUAAUAUUCA
rnacentral:antisense_RNA from 1 species